rnacentral:tRNA from 1 species
CGGGACGUAGCUCAGCUUGGCUAGAGCGCCUGCUUUGGGAGCAGGAGGUCGCUGGUUCAAAUCCAGUCGUCCCGA